GAGGAUGUGGCUCAGUGGUAGAGCGCUCGCCUUGCACGUGUGCGGCCCUGGGUUUGAUCCUCAGCACCACA
rnacentral:tRNA from 1 species